rnacentral:lncRNA from 1 species
GGCUAACAGACAGGUUAGUAUGAGUUUUCUUUUAUGCCCCUGUUUAACUAAAUUUAUGCCUAAUCUCAAUAUUUGUGUCUGUGUGCUUUUUAAUCAUAUGAUAUGAUUUUUCUCUAACUGUUUAAAAAUAAUUGCAUCCUAUCUAGCAGGUUUUAAUAUCGACCUUCCAGCCGAGAUGUGAUUAUAUUAUCGGAGGGUGUCGAAUUCAGUGGCCAUAUUCUUAUUGCUUCCUUCAGAUCUUGUAUUUUCCAAGAACCUGCCUGUGGUGAGAUCAAUCGCUGAUGGUUUCAGUCUGUGCAUCUUCACGGCUGAGAACAUGAAAAACUGAGCACUCGAGCUACCUUUGAAGGAGAAAGGCUCCGAGCACGGUUAAGCCAAAAUGGCAAUAUCCAGGUGCAGGUUGGGUUAAGAUGAAUACUGAUGGAGCCACUG